CUGGGUGACAAAGCCAGACUCUGUCUCGAAAAUAAUCAUCAUCAUCAUAAUGUAGGUACAAAAGGAGUUUAGUGUGAGUAGAAAGACUUGAGACUGGACUUAAACGGAGCAGGAUAAAGUGGAGAUCCUGAACAGGAACCACCAACUGGGGGCCCCAGGCAGGAGACAUCAGGGGAGUUGAAAAGCGAUCGCAGAGGACACAGGACUGGGAUACACGGCAGCAAAGGUAAAGCAUCUUGGUCCAACCUGGGCACUCAGUUGAGACCCCAGAAAGGGAACACCUUAGGAGUAAGGGCUUUAGGAUUAGGGGGUGUGUAAACUUUACUAGUGUUAAGUUCACCAGUAUAAAGAAAAAGCUAAAAUAUAUGAAAUGGAGAAUUUAUCGAAUUAUCUAAACACCAAACUGGAAACAGCUGAAGACAAGAUUUUUCAUCUCAAAGUUACAUCGGUUGAAAUAAUCUGAAUCAAAAUUCCAAGAUAAAAAGAAAGAAGGAAAAUGAGAAAAAAAGAAAACAGAAAUGAAUAUUAGAGACCUGUGGGACAAGAUCAAAUGGUUGAAUAAAUGUGAAAUUUGACUGCCAAGAAGUAGGGAGAAAGAAAAUAGAGCAGAGGAAAUAUUUAAAGAGAUAAUAUGUAAGAAGUUUAUACAUUGGUGAAAAUAUACCAACCCACAGAUCCAAACAGCUCAGCAAACUCCCAAAAAGAUACAGUCAAAGAAAAAUACAUAAAAGCAUAUCAUAGUCCAACUGCUGAAAACCAACGAUAAUGAGAAAAGUCC
rnacentral:lncRNA from 10 species